GGUCCCGUAGCUCAGCUGGUUAGAGCGUGGUACUAAUAAUUCCUUGAUGAGGAAUCAUCGGUGAUGCCAAGGUCGCGAGUUCGAUCCUCUCCGGGACCA
rnacentral:tRNA from 1 species